AGCGAACAUUGGCGGUAGGCUUAACACAUGCAAGUCGAGCGAGGCUUAGAGCCGAGCGGCGAACGGGUGAGUAUAACUUGGGAAUCUACCCUGAAGUGGGGGAUAACGUUCAGAAAUGAACGCUAAUACCGCAUAAUCCACAUUGGGAAAGCGCGCUGCGCUUUAGGAUGAGCCCAAGCCUGAUUAGCUAGUUGGUGGGGUAAAGGCCCACCAAGGCAACGAUCAGUAGCUGGUCUGAGAGGAUGACCAGCCACACUGGGACUGAGACACGGCCCAGACUCCUACGGGAGGCAGCAGUGGGGAAUAUUGCGCAAUGGGCGAAAGCCUGACGCAGCGACGCCGCGUGGGUGAUGAAGGCC
rnacentral:rRNA from 1 species